rnacentral:rRNA from 1 species
GCUUACGGCCAUACCACCUGAACACGCCCGAUCUCGUCUGAUCUCGGAAGCUAAGCAGGGUCGGGCCUGGCAGUACUUGGAUGGAGACCGCCUGGGAUACCAGGUGCUGUAAGCU